rnacentral:rRNA from 1 species
UUUGAUCCUGGCUCAGAUUGAACGCUGGCGGCAUGCUUUACACAUGCAAGUCGAACGGCAGCGCGGGGCAACCUGGCGGCGAGUGGCGAACGGGUGAGUAAUAUAUCGGAACGUACCCAAGAGUGGGGGAUAACGUAGCGAAAGUUACGCUAAUACCGCAUACGAUCUAAGGAUGAAAGCAGGGGAUCUUCGGACCUUGUGCUCCUGGAGCGGCCGAUAUCUGAUUAGCUAGUUGGUGAGGUAAAGGCUCACCAAGGCCACGAUCAGUAGCUGGUCUGAGAGGACGACCAGCCACACUGGAACUGAGACACGGUCCAGACUCCUACGGGAGGCAGCAGUGGGGAAUUUUGGACAAUGGGCGAAAGCCUGAUCCAGCAAUGCCGCGUGAGUGAAGAAGGCCUUCGGGUUGUAAAGCUCUUUUGUCAGGGAAGAAACGGUGGAGGCUAAUAUCCUUCGCUAAUGACGGUACCUGAAGAAUAAGCACCGGCUAACUACGUG